rnacentral:rRNA from 1 species
ACGGCGACCGGCGCACGGGUGAGUAACACGUAUCCAACCUGCCGUCUACUCUUGGACAGCCUUCUGAAAGGAAGAUUAAUACAAGAUGGCAUCAUGAGUCCGCAUGUUCACAUGAUUAAAGGUAUUCCGGUAGACGAUGGGGAUGCGUUCCAUUAGGUAGUAGGCGGGGUAACGGCCCACCUAGCCAACGAUGGAUAGGGGUUCUGAGAGGAAGGUCCCCCACAUUGGAACUGAGACACGGUCCAAACUCCUACGGGAGGCAGCAGUGAGGAAUAUUGGUCAAUGGACGAGAGUCUGAACCAGCCAAGUAGCGUGAAGGAUGAAGGUCCUACGGAUUGUAAACUUCUUUUAUAAGGGAAUAAACCCUCCCACGUGUGGGAGCUUGUAUGUACCUUAUGAAUAAGCAUCGGCUAACUCCGUGCCAGCAACCGCGGUAAUACGGAGGAUGCGAGCGUUAUCCGGAUUUAUUGGGUUUAAAGGGAGCGCAGACGGGUCGUUAAGUCAGCUGUGAAAGUUUGGGGCUCAACCUUAAAAUUGCAGUUGAUACUGGCGUCCUUGAGUGCGGUUGAGGUGUGCGGAAUUCGUGGUGUAGCGGUGAAAUGCUUAGAUAUCACGAAGAACUCCGAUUGCGAAGGCAG